UGGGGAAUUUUGCACAAUGGGGGAAACCCUGAUGCAGCGACGCCGCGUGAUUUAGAAGGCCUUCGGGUUGUAAAAAUCUUUUGUAUGGGAAGAAAAUGACAGUACCAUACGAAUAAGGACCGGCUAAUUACGUGCCAGCAGCCGCGGUAAUACGUAAGGUCCGAGCGUUGUCCGGAAUCAUUGGGCGUAAAGGGUACGUAGGCGGAUAAGCAAGUUAGAAGUGAAAUCCUAUAGCUCAACUAUAGUAAGCUUUUAAAACUGCUCAUCUUGAGGUAUGGAAGGGGAAGUGGAAUUCCUAGUGUGGCGGUGAAAUGCGCAGAUAUUAGGAGGAAUACCGGUGGCGAAGGCGACUUUCUGGCCAUAUACUGACGCUGAGGUACGAAAGCGUGGGUAGCAAACAGG
rnacentral:rRNA from 1 species